CUUUCAACCCACCCCUAUCCAAGAUGGUUGUUGAAAC
rfam:Scytonema hofmannii PCC 7110 genomic scaffold Scaffold1, whole genome shotgun sequence.